rnacentral:rRNA from 1 species
UACGGAGGGUGCGAGCGUUGCUCGGAAUUACUGGGCGUAAAGCGUACGCAGGCUGUUCUGUAAGUCGGGUGUGAAAGCCCGGGGCUCAACCCCCGGAAUUGCGCCCCGAGACUGCAGGGCUUGAAUGCGGGAGAGGGAAGCGGAAUUCCUGGUGUAGAGGUGAAAUUCGUAGAUAUCAGGAGGAACACCGGUGGCGAAAGCGGCUUCCUGGCCCGACAUUGACGCUCAUGUACGAGAGCGUGGGGAGCAAACAGG